UACAGAGGUCUCAAGCGUUGUUCGGAUUCAUUGGGCGUAAAGGGUGCGUAGGUGGCGCGCUAAGUCAGGUGUGAAAUUUCGGAGCUUAACUCCGAAACUGCAUUUGAUACUGGCGUGCUUGAGGACUGGAGAGGAGACUGGAAUUCACGGUGUAGCAGUGAAAUGCGUAGAGAUCAUGAGGAAUACCAGAGGCGAAGGCGGCUACCUGGACAAUUGCUGACGCUCAGGCACGAAAGCGUGGGGAGCAAAAGGG
rnacentral:rRNA from 1 species